rnacentral:rRNA from 1 species
GUCUAUGACCAUGCCACCCUGAACAAGCCAUAUCCCAUCUGAUCUUGGAAGCUAAGCAGGGUUGAGCCUGGUUAGUACUUAGAUGGGAGACUACCUAGGAAGAACAGGUGCUGUAGGUG